rnacentral:lncRNA from 1 species
CAAUCUCAAACUCCUUCUGGCAUUUUGAACUAUGAGAUCCUUGUGCUGAACUCUUCAAUGCAGCUUUUCCUUGUAGAUCCAUAAUUCAUAUAUCGAGGACAAUGACACAGAUUCUCAAUCAUCCAUAUUUGUAGUAACAAAUUUACCUACCCCCGCUUUGCAGCGCAUGAGAGCUCGGAAUAUCUUAUAUACUAUCAUAGGAGCGAGGGUGCUC